GAAACCUUCUUACUUGUAUAUAGCUGAGCUUCUUUAAUGGGUCGUCCACGGAAAUAUGCAAGCUUGGAAGAGGCGACUAGAGAGAGGAAUGCGAGGAGACAUACGGCAGCGUGGCAAUGCGAGUGCUAAUGACAAUUCUGGAGAAUGCCGAGAUACUGCUGCGAGGACAAGACUUUCUGUACCUAUCGAGCAACCUUCUAGCGGCCCUUCAUUUGUGGAAUUGAGCUAUAAGGGGACGAUUGGUAUCAAUACUGAAGGAAUAAACAAUCGAGAUGGACAUCGCGUUGGAUCGACCUGUUUGCAUUCAAAUGGUAGUUCUAUCAGUCAUGUAGGUAACAAAAGAACGGGACAAGAUUGUGCAAAUGAUUGCCUGUUAUUCUCAUGGUAGUUAAAUACAAAAUAGAGAAGCAACUGAUCAUUGAUUAGUUCUCCUGUUUAGGCUCAUUCUUGUAGAGUUUAGAUUGUUAACUGGAGUUUUUUUUUUUGGGUGUAUUUUGCUGUUAAAUGCAGUGGGAUUUGAUGCUUUUUGUUAAGCGGCACACUAAAAAGCAUAAACUUAGAGCAUGGACUGGUACAUAUUUCUUUUGGUACAUCAAAUUUGUACUUAUUGAUUUUCUUGAGUUCUUGUUCAACAAAGGCAUUGGCUUUGCUGAGUAAGAAGGCAGGCUCUAUGAUGGAGUACAACUUAAAGGAUCAGAAUAUAGUUUAAGGGACAAGAAGGACAAGAAAACUACUUGUUUAUGGGGGUUCCAUGAUAUGUGAAAGUAAGAAAAUUUAUAAGAAACUUGCUCAUCUGGCAGUAAUUUAUAAGUAGUUCUUGGCUCAUGUGGUUUUCCAACUACAUGCUUUAUAAGUAGGUCCCCAGCUACCUGCUUUAUAAGUAGUUCUUGGCUGUAAAUCAUAGUACUAUAAUUAUUUGUUUUGUCCUUUUUCCCAUUGUCUAUUUUUGAUUUUUUUCCUGAGGCUUGUUUUAUUUUAGGAAAUUAUGCAUAUGAGAAAUGUUUUUAUGCAAUUAAAAUUUGAUGGUCAGUUUUUAAUGACCACUAAGUGAUGAUAAUGCUAUUCUUUGUAACAUUUAGAGCUCCUAGAGCUAAAUAUGUGGACUAUAGCCACUCUCACUUGAAAGAUUGUUUCCCCACAUUUAUUAGCACCUAUCAUGUAUUAAAUAUAUAACCAUUUUACAUUAAUCCACUUGCCUUCAUUUGAUCUUGAUUAA